rnacentral:lncRNA from 1 species
AAGUUGAAUCUAAUUUUAAACCGAGAAAUGUGUGUUUAUCUAAUAAGUCAGAAUUUCAUUUAAAGCAGAAGUUAGUUUGAUAUAUAUACCUUUUCUAGUUACAAAAAAUUUGGAUUAAAAGUUACCCAUAAAUCAUUUUUUUUAUUGUUAUAUUUUUAAUAACUCAUAAGUUUUAAUAAAUCAAAAUUAUCUGAACAGACAUUUUAAACUCUCAGUUUAUCACAUUAAGUCAUGUUAAAUUAUAUAUCACAAAUUUUAAAUUCAGCCAAACAAAUUCAAUAUAUAACACACCCUCCAUCCCCCUUAUCAUAAUUUUACUGUUUACGAGAUAAGGUCAACAUACAUUACAUAUACACCCACUUGGUAUCUUAUUCACAUUUCAAGUCCUUAUAUUUUGACGGGGACAAUGUGUCCGAUUAAUAUUACACAUUUCAAGUCCCUUGUAUUCUAAGUGGGACAAUGUGUCUGUGUAAAUUUGGUUCGGUUCGAUAAUUUAUUGCACAAAUAAUAUAUCUAAGUGUGUAUGCAAAUGCUUGUGGUGUGCAGGUUUCAGCCUCGAAAGUGCUCCAAGAGACAUGCAACUACAUAAGAAACUUACACAGAGAAGUGGACGACUUAAGCGACAGACUCUCAGAACUUCUGGAGUCCACGGACAGCAACAGUGCUGAGGCAGCUGUUAUAAGGAGCUUACUUAUGUAAUGCUGGAGAAUUAAACAACCUAAUUAUUUCAAGUUUAUGUUAUAAUUAGUUGCCUUUUUAAGCCUAAACCUAAUUAGGGUUUUCCGUCUUAUCAUUAUCUCAUCAUGGUGAUCCUUGCUAUAUAUAUAUAAGCAAUUAUAGGGUCCAUGAUUAUAAUUUCUUUAAUUAGUAAUAUAUGUUUUUAGUGUUAUGAAUUAUGAUGAAUUUAUCAGCUAGCCAAUGUUGUCCACAUCUUCCUAUAUAUUAUAUUAUAAUAUAUACAUGUGUAUCCUCAAUAAUCUUACGUAGAAAAGCUGAUAGAUUUUUAAAGAGCUGGUUGAAAAAGUAGUUCCAUUUUUCUGAUGGUGGAAGUUUAAUAAAAUGGUAUAGUUCGCAAUGUAAAUACUGUAUUUUUUUGAAAUUUUAUCUCCAGAAAACCGACCAAAUUUGCUCAUUUCCGACCAAGAAUGGUAAAAAAAACCCAGAAAACCGACCAAAUGUAUACAUUUCUGACCAAAUUCAUAUCCUAAAACCCAGAAAAACGACCAACUAAUUUCUGACCAACUCAUUUCCGAUCAGAUGUAUGCAAUUUGGGUGGUCGGUUUUAGAACAGAAGCUCCCCCAAUGGACCCUGAAAGCCAUUUCCGACCAACUCAUUUUCGACCACUGUGUGGUCGGUUUUAGACCAGAAGCUCAUCCAAUGGGCCCUGAAAAGGCAUUUCCGACCGAAUCAUUUCCGACCACAAUGUGGUCGUUUUUACAACUGGGCCCCACAGCUGAGCCUUGAACUUCUUUACCGACCAACACAUUUCUGACCGUCAUUGGUCGGUUUUGAGACAAUCCACGUGUAUGACACGUCAACGGUGGGCCAGAUUUAUCUGAUACGAUCCACGUGUAUAUGGACAUGGAAACACAUUUCCGACCGAUAGAAUCGGUCGGUUUUAUAACUCAUUUCGGACCGAUACGGCAUUUCCGACUCGGUUUAAAGGGACCGACGUGGUCGGUCGGUCGGUGGUCGGAAAUGACCUCAAAACCGACCGAUUUUGCUUAUUUCCGACCGAUUUUGGCUGUCGGAAAUGCCCGCUUUUCUUGUAGUGAUUAUUUUAAUUAUAAAAAAAUUGUUAAAAAGUCAACCUUAACAACUUUCCCGAAAAAUAUAAAUAAUUAAUAUCAUCUUAUUGCAAUUUAAAAUUUGGAUCAAUGAAAUAUUAAAGUGGAUUAAUCUUGUCACUAUUUUGAAAUUUAGUCAAUAUAGAGUAAUGUUCAUUUACGAUCAAAUGAAGUAUAAUUCUGAAUAUACCUUUUCUUUUCAAAACUGUUCCCUCUCCGAUUUAAGCAACGUUACGUACAUGCACUGAGCUAUGGCUAGACCCUGAGGAAUAAACUAGCUAGCUAGUUGCUAAUUUAACUAGCUGCUCAUAAAUGAAAACUAAUUACUAGGUUAACGAAGUUUAGGUUUUAUAAUUAUGGUCAAUUUAAUAUCUGUCAUACUACAAUUUUUUUUAAAAAGAUCAAAAGUGUAAAAAUUACAUUGAAUAUUUUACAACGUUUUUGUGCACGAAUUCUCGAUAUAACAUAUAUAAUACGUAAUCAUGUCAAUUAUUUUUAAUAUAUAGACAAAACUACACUAAUAUAUAUGUCGUCCCUGUAAAUGAUCUAUUGUUUCCAGAUAUAUAUAUACAUCGAACAACAAAAAGGCUCUAUAUUAUAUUGUAUAGUACUGGACACCACCGUAUACACACGUUCAUACUCGAUCCAAUAAACCUAGCUAUACCUAUGUCGAUUUAAUCAAAGAUCACUUAAUUUUCACUCCAACCACGGAUUUCAAAUUUUUGGACAUAUUCUAAUUAGUGGAUAUUUUUUGGCUUUUCACAGUCCAAGUACGAAAUGCAACAAAAUUAUCAUUGAUAAAUCCCGAACAAAAUCGGUCAUGAGUUCAUAAUCGGUAUAAGGAAGUGAUUGAUUUAUAUUUUAUAUCGACUUAAUCGGGUUUGGAAAUUUUUACCAACCAAAUAUAAGAAAAUGGAGUAUAUAUCAGGAUUUUUUUAAUCAAAGCUAUCAGUAGAGAUUUAGAUUCUCUCUGUACACCUGGACCAACCUCACAACCUUUUCUGAUUGUCGACCAAAUCAUAUAUUCAUAUAUAGUUACGAACAUAUGACAACCUAUCACAUAUUUUCUGUUAAAACUUAUCCAUAUAUAUGAGGUUCAAAAUAAAAACUAAUCCAUCAACACGUCAGGUUAAAAGUUAAAAUAGCAUCAUACAACGAAGUCACAUGAUAGACAUAAUACCAAUUGCUCAGUUCGAAUUUUCUAUGGCGUGUCCAAUAAUCACUAAAUCCAAUGAAAAUACUAACAUUAAUUGGUAAAUGGAUAUUAGAUGUUGAUGGCCCCCCUCAUUCACACCAAUUCCACCAAUCAAAUUAAGUCAUGUUCAUAAAAGUUGGUGUUUAGCAUGUGCCCAUGGGGCUCACUAGAAAAACCGUACUCAAUUUACUUUAUCCUUGAAGUAAAAAUGUAGUUUUGAGAUCCGACAAAAGAGCUUUUUCAAGGAGUACAUUGAUCCUUUGUAAUAUUAAAUUUUUGUAAAAUAUUACUAUUUUAAAAAUCUGAAAAAAUAUUAUGUUUUGAAUUUUUAUAAAAUUACGUUUUACAACUGGAUGGAACCUGACAUAAUUAUCAAUAAUCAACAUUCAAUACAAUAGAAAAUAAUUUCACCUUUUUCCCAAGAACAAUACAUAUAAACAUAACAUUAUAUUCCAAAAAAAAAUUAUGAGUAAUCAUAUACGAUAUUAUUUGGAUAUUAUAUCAUUAUAUUUCAGUGAUCAAAAACUAAAUAUUUUACGAAAAUAGAAUGAUUUCAUUCAAUAUUGAUAAUAAUGAAAUCACAGAACAAAUGUGGUAUAUUAUCUAAGAUAUUAUUAUAUAUAGGGUCGAGAGAAUCUAUCUUUAAAAUAGAAUCAUAGAACCAUUAAAGUUCCACCGUAGAACCUCUAGGGUUCUGCUGCAUGACCCUAAAUUUUAAAUAUAUUUUCGGUAUUUAAAUAUAAAUAUAUCUUUUUUUACAUAAUGUGUGUUCAAAACUAAUUUUAAAAUAUAUUACAUAAACACGACACUAUUUGCAUGUGCAUCUGCAGAACAGGGGUUCUAAGAAGAUAAUGAUCAUUUAUAUAUACUGAGUUUUGGUUGGAUUUCAAAUUAAGUACUGAUUUUCUAUUUUAAAAUACAGUUCUUUUUCGAAAUUUUUCAAAUUCAAAUAUAUAUUCAAAUUAUCAAAUUCGAUAAUAUCCAAUUAAAUCGGAAUAAAUCCAUCGAAUUAAAUUUUUCUGCGUUCUGUGAAAGAGACCCGGGUUUAUAGGUCAGCCUCCAAGGAGAAAACCAGAAUGCACCUAACAUGUGGCUCAGGGUCCACUAUUAAUAUUUUUGGUUGCCAAGGAAAAACGAACCCGUGAUGGAGAAAUAUAUGGUCUGUGCACCAGGGUCCGCCCUGUCUGCGUUGGAUAUAUCGUUGUAUUUUUCUUGUCUCCGGGCCGUGUUUGGGUUUUUAUAUUUUCGUGGUGGCCAAUUUGAUGGUUAAAAGCAGCCACAAUAUGGAUUUAAGGUUGAAUCUUAAAGCCGUAUGCCCUGUCUAUUCGAUUAUGCAUCCGAUUUAUAAGUUUGCCAUGUUACUUUGGUAGUACGAAAAGUGGACUUGGUCUGUAAGUUUCAGCUUGGUCAUGUAUAGGGGCUGUUUGGACGAGUUUAAAAUAAAUGCUUCUUACUUAAAAUAAAAAAGUGAAGUGAAGAUUAGAAAUUAGACACGACUUAUAAGUGAUUAAACUGUUUGACAAAUAAGUAGAAGUCCUGAAACAAAAGCUAGUAAUCCUAGCUUUUUUAAGUGCUUCUUGAUUUUUUACACAAAUAGUACAAAUAAAUGUUUAUAACUUAUAAAGCAGAAGUUGGGUUUAUAAGUCAUUGCCAAACACCACAUAAUGUUAGUUCAUGAGCAUAUAUUAAGAAUAAAUUUUUAUUUAGAUCAAUUGUUCUAUUACAUAUAAGGGUUAUUAUUAUUAGUAAAGUUGAAAUAAAUAAAAUUCAAUAUGCUAAUAAAAAGUCUACAAUGUAUUAUUGAUUUUAGUCAUGUCACUGAUAAUAGAAUCAUUCUAUACAUAUAAACUAUAAAAUUAAAAUUAGAUAUCCAUUUUUAUCUGAGAAAAAAGUUUACACAUAUAAUUUAACAUAGAAAGACAUAUUUUGAGAAAUCAUUAGAAUAUGAUCUUUGUAAACCCUCCUCCAGGAUCAUAUUCUAACAGAUAUGUAGGAGCUAUUUUUAUUGGUGCACCAAUAUUAAACAUGCUCCAUUGUGGUUGCAGAACGGUUUCAAAAAAAUUUACAUAAUUAAUAAUUUUAGAUUUCGAAUUCUCUUUUAUUAUACAUGGUUUCAAAAUUUAGAUAGCCUCCAAGGCUACAAUGGAUUUAUUAUAAAGUGCAACAACUCGUGAUUGUUGGGCUUAACAAAAAAAAAUUAUGGCUGAUUUGGCCCAAACACCAAACUGUUUCUUGAUUGAUUUAAAUCUAACAGUUUUCUUUAACAAAAAUGCAAAGAUCACUUGAUUAGAAAGCCCGCUUCAUUUUUUCAUGCGGCCCAAAGCCCCAAACUUUAUGAUACUAUUGUCUAAGAAAAAGUUUAUAAAUCUAGUGCCCUUUAUUGAACUACUUAAAAUACGCGUUGGUGGUGUAAUUCUAGAGUCAUUAGUCAAUGAAGGAAUAUCACAAUCACAUGGACGUGUUUAAAGAUUGAAGAGGAAAAUAAAAUAACGAGUUUGAUUUUCACGCAAGUUUUUUUUAAUUCGUUAGCACGCUAUGUGGCAUAUAGAAUAUAACUCGCGAGAACGGUUGAAGGGUCAAGACCGAAGACUAAAGAGCCUUGCGUGGCUUUCAAAUUGAUCAAGGUAAUUAAGAUCCGAAAUUGAAUGCCACUCAAAUGUACAUCUAGGUUAAUGUAAUGGUGGAUUAUGUAUAAGAUAUAGAACUAGAGCACAUAGUCAUUCGAUAUGAUUUACAAAAUUUAGAAAAAACAUUUUCAACAAGCCCGUUUAUAAGAUCCAGUAUUCCUUACAUGUAAAAUUAAAUAAAUCGAUUUAACUAAUUUGUUAAAACAAACCCAUUUAGUUAAAAAAGCAAGCUCGAUUCGACUCAUAAAAUUAAAUAAAAUAAAUUCGGACUCAGAUUUUGACUUGGUUCAAUUAAACGAACCGAUUCGUCUGACUCUGUUAAACCUCGAAUUACUUUCGCUUCAAAAUUUGGAUUAUAGUGUCCAAAUUGUAUCCUCUCAAAAAUUAUUAAAUAUGAAUAUGAGUGGAUAUCGAAUUAAGAUUUCAAUCGGAUUUUAUUUAUUUUACGAGUUCGAACAAACUUCCCACGUUCAGACGAAGAUACAAAAUCAUAAAGUCAAAGACCACAAACAUUGACUUGUCGGUACCCACAUCAAAUUCCUCUUUUACCCGCCGGCGGGUGCACCGUAACUUCCCAAACCACACUUCCCUUUUUCACUGCGGUUAAUUCACCCCGCCCAAAUUAACUUUUACCCUUCCCCUCUUCAUUUCCUUGCUCUCUACAUUACAGAUCCAAAUUUGACUCCACCAUUACACAUCCACACCCGAUCCCUCCCCCUCCUAUACACACAUGAGCCUAUAGACACAAACGUAUCGAUAAUUUCGGGUUGUUAGAGGCCGUUGGAGAUGGAUUCCACAUCGAUCCGCGUGCCUUACAAGCAUCUCAAACAAGCUGAAGUUGAAAUGAACCGAUUCGAUGAGUCGGUGGAUCGUCGCGGUCGAUUAGAUCAUGUUAAUUUGAAUGGCGCUGCGGCGAAUGCGGAGAGUGCGGAGAAUGCGUCUUCGUCGCAGCAGCAGCAGCAGCAGAGGAGUGAGGGGAUUAGUAUGGUUACGUUAGUGUUGAGCUGUACGGUGGCUGCUGGUGUUCAGUUUGGUUGGGCGUUGCAGCUGUCGCUUCUCACUCCUUACAUUCAGGUCUCUCUCUCUCUCUCUCUCUCUCUCUCUCUCUCUCUCUCCUCUCUCUCUCUCUCUCUCUCUACUCUCUCUCUCUCUCUCUACUCUCUCUACUCGUCNNNNNNNNNNNNNNNNNNNNNNNNNNNNNNNNNNNNNNNNNNNNNNNNNNNNNNNNNNNNNNNNNNNNNNNNNNNNNNNNNNNNNNNNNNNNNNNNNNNNNNNNNNNNNNNNNNNNNNNNNNNNNNNNNNNNNNNNNNNNNNNNNNNNNNNNNNNNNNNNNNNNNNNNNNNNNNNNNNNNNNNNNNNNNNNNNNNNNNNNNNNNNNNNNNNNNNNNNNNNNNNNNNNNNNNNNNNNNNNNNNNNNNNNNNNNNNNNNNNNNNNNNNNNNNNNNNNNNNNNNNNNNNNNNNCUCUCCCUCUCCCUCUCCCUCGCCCUCUCUCUCUCUCUCUCUCUCUCCCCCCCUAACUUCUUUUAGUUUCUCGGAGUAGAGCUUGUAUAAGUUGUGAUUUGAAUUUAGAUGUUUUUUGUGUAUAUAGAUUGCGAGUUUACUUUUAUUGAUAUGUUAUGGUUAUAUGUAUGUGUGGACUUGAUUGAUUGCUCGUAUCUAGUACUCAUAGAAGUUGUGGAUGUAUUUAUUUUGUAUGUAGCUUGCGACUUUAUGUUGUAUUGGUAUGUUAUUGUUGGAUAUGUGUGUGUACUUAACUGAUCACUCCUAUUUAGAACUGGUAUGAAUUAUACUUUGAGUGUUAGAUGGAUGUGUUUGAACAUAUAGAUUGUUAUUCCAGGUUUUAUAGAUAUGUUAUCGUUAGAUAUAUGUGUUGUAGUUGAUUGCUUACUCAUAUUUGGAUAUAAGUUUUAUUGUUUUCAGAAUUUAGAUUGCUAAUUAGUGUGUAAUUUGUAUAGGGUCAUUUCUGAUUAUAUCGUGUGUGUAGAUAGUACCUCUUAUCUGAGUCUUCAUGUCUGGAAAUUUGGAUCAGCAGCUGAAUCUUUUUAGGUUGUUAGUGUUAGUAGUGAAUAGACUAGAAGUGUGUUCUCAGUUGUGCUUUAUUUGGAAAGUUUUUAUGAGAUUGACUUGUGCUCUGAUCAAAUUAGUGAGAAUAAGAUCAUGCUUUAAUGUUCUGAUGAAUAAUAAAGAAUGAAUCAGAAAUUAAUCUCGAGUUAGGGAGAUUUAAAGUCAUGUAAUUACUAAGAGUUGGUAAGAGAUGUGGUAUUUUGAUUAAAACAAUAAAGAAUGAAUCAGAAAUUAAUCUCAAGUUAGGGAUUGUUAAAGUCAUGUAGUAAUUUUGAAUUAUUACUAGUUGGAAACCCAUGUUAGGUAAUUAACUAUGUAAUGUUGACGUUGUGAACAUACCUUCCGCUUUUAUCUUUACAAUAGAGACUAAUACAAAUUCUUUCAUUUUUUGACCUUCUGGUCUUCUGUUGAAUCAAACAAUGAAACAGUUGAAUUCGAAUGCCAUUAAAUCUUAAGAAGAAAGCUAAAUGAAACAAACAAAACACACACUCGAAGUGUAGAGGAUCAAAACUCCCUAAAUAAAUACACAAUAUGAAUAUGUAAAUCUACAACCACUAUAUAAUUUACUUAGUAUUUGUAAGUCACAAUAACCACCAUAUAUUUUACCUAAUAGUAUAUGUAUAUAUAUUGCCAACAAAUGUUAGCAGAAGAGAAUAGUUGAAUUUCAUGAGCGUGUGGGUAAGGGAUUUUUACAAAUUCCAUGAGAACCCAGUUGGUAAGAGAUCUCUACAAAAUAAUGUUUCUCUUGCAGAAUAUGGAACUGAACUUUCAGUUAUUUAAAUUGUGUAAAAUUAAUGCAAAGUUAUUGAAAUGUUCAAUUUACAACAAUUAAUAAAUUCAGGACAACUAAAAUAGGAAAAGUGGUCAUUAUAAAUGCGACUGAGUGUUAUUUGUCUAGGGAGCAACAAAUAUGUUGAAUCUUACUUUAAAGUUUGACAUAUUUUGCAUUCAGAAUUCAGUAAGUGCACAACCAUAUUUGUAAUUUAUAUGUCAGUAGUUAUUUUAAUUUUUUCUCUGUCACUAGUCCGCCUCAAUACCUUUCCUUCACUCAUAUGCAGUGCUUGUUGCUUAAGUUAUAGUAGGCUGGUAAAUUAUUUUGUAAUAUUGUUAUUUUGCUUUGUGCAGACACUUGGAAUAGGGCAUGCCUUCUCUUCAUUUAUCUGGCUCUGUGGUCCUAUUACUGGCCUUGUGGUAGGCGCAGCUUAUUAUUUUCUGUAAAGUUUAUAAGUUAAAUGGAAUCCUGUUAUUUAUAUAUUCAUCUGGAUUUGAAUCUGAUGAUAGCCUUGAUCAGUUCUAUGUAGACACAUAACAGUAGAUAGUCAACUACUGCUUCUGUUAGAACUUCUUUAGCAAACCAUGUCUUCGUUGUCUAUUGCAAAAUUUAAUUACAGAUGCACUUUUCUUGGAUGUGGUCCUAUAACAUACUUGCAUAUAUUUAAGAGUCAAUAGUGAUGUACAUAUUGCAGUUCCUGCUGAUAUAUUUUUAUUUUUUCCUUCUUGUUGAGUUCAGGUUCAACCUUGUGUUGGUAUCUGGAGUGAUAAGUGCACUUCAAAGUAUGGAAGAAGACGACCAUUUAUAUUAGUUGGAUCUCUCAUGAUAUCAGUUGCUGUGAGCUUUACCGAACCAAUUUAAUUUUCUCUCAUAAUUAUUACACACUGCUCGUCAUUUAGCUGAAUUACAUAUCUAUAUGUAGGUGAUAAUAAUCGGGUUUUCUGCAGACAUUGGGUACCUUCUAGGUGAUUCGAAGGAGCAUUGCAGGUCUUCUGCCUUCUGCCUUUCCUUUAAUUUAUGUUAUUUUAUUUUAAUUGUUUGAUCACUCUCUGUUAAUUAACUAAUGCAGAACAUAUAAAGGUACUCGGACAAGAGCGGCUAUUGUGUUUAUAGUAGGGUUCUGGAUGCUGGAUCUUGCCAAUAAUACCGUCCAGGUUUGCAACCUCAACAUUUUACUAUGCACUUGGCUGAAAAAAACUUUGAACUAUUUCAUUAUAUGCGAAGCUUAGUUUUCUGAUUGCAUGUAGGGCCCAGCUCGAGCUCUUUUGGCAGAUUUAGCAGGUGAAAAGAUACUCAUCUUAAAUUUAUUCUAAUAAACUAUAGAACCAGCUCCCAUCAUAUUCUGUUGAUAUAUUUUGCCACAGCAUGUUCGUUGGUGUAUAGACUGGUUAAGCAUUUUGUUCCUUUGUAAUAGGUCCUGAUCAAAGAAAUUCCGCAAAUGCCAUAUUCUGCACAUGGAUGGCUGUAGGCAAUGUCCUAGGCUUUUCUUCUGGUGCAAGUGGAGACUGGCACAGGUGAAGUAUCCUUGAUCUGUUUUAAAGAGCUCAUAUAUUGUGCAAUAUUUUCUAUAGCACUUGGUAAUAUACAGCAUGCCUCUUAAAUUGGGCCAUUAUAAGUCUCAACAAACUUAAAUUAACUGUUAUCUGCAUUGGAAGUUGUCUGGAUAAAUUUAUAUAUUUCCUGCAGCCAUCUUCUAGGGGUUCAAUUAAUCUUGCAUUUCAUUUCUGAGCAGAUGGUUCCCUUUUUUAAUGAGUAGAGCUUGCUGUGAAGCUUGUGGAAAUCUGAAGGCAGCAUUUCUAGUUGCUGUGGUAAGUUAUUAGUUUUGCAAACACGCUCGCUGUAUAGCUAAAUUUCUCUGGUUAUGAUUUUGGGUGCUAUUCCAAUAUGUUUCUCACAAAUCUUUAUGAAUGUUUACUUAUUAUUGAGCAUUUCUGGAAUUACUAAUGUCUAUAUUGUAUUGUAAAUUUGAAGUUUAGUAAUAUAUAUCAGUAAUAUACACUCAACAAUUGUCUCUGGUCUGUGGCAGGUUUUUUUGAUUCUAUGUACACUUGUAACUCUUUAUUUUGCAAAGGAGGUUCCCUUGAUUCUGAAUCAAGCUCAGCGUUUAUCAGAUUCAGCUCCCCUUUUGAACGAACAUCAAGUUGGUUAUAAUCCCUCAAAAUCAGGAACUGGCAUGCAACUAGUUGACAAUUCAUCAGGGAUGAAUUCUGAUACUGAUCUAAAAGUAGGAAAUGAUCAGAAGAGUGAAAACCAUGAGGUUGAGGAAGACAAGGUUGAAAGUUUCAGCAAUAGUCCUGGUGCAGUCUUGGUCAAUUUGUUAACAAGCUUACGGCAUUUGCCACCAGCUAUGCAUUCAGUUCUGGUUGUAAUGGCGCUUACCUGGGUAUGUUUUGCAUUUUUGUACAUAGCUGACAUGAUGUUCUACAGAUACACAAUCGAUACAGAUUCUUGAUUCAUUAUAGAAAAAUUUAGUGAGCUUAUUCUUGCAGAUGUUUUCAAUAACUAUUCUUUCUGCAGUUAUCCUGGUUUCCCUUUUUCCUCUUUGACACUGAUUGGAUGGGAAGAGAAGUUUAUCAUGGUGACCCAAAUGGAGAAAUAACUGAAGUAAAAGCUUAUGAUCAUGGUGUCAGAGAAGGUGCUUUUGGUUUGCUGUUGAAUUCAGUAAGAACUCAUAAUCAACAAAAUACUCUUCAGCUUCAUAGAUAUCUUUAUUAUAAUAAUAGAAAUUUGUGGAUAAUGAAAGAAUAUUGUGCAUACAGUUAUAAUGGGUGAGUUGUAGGGAUCUAAACAUUGUAAAUUAUUGCAAUUGUUUUAACAUCAUAUUUUCUUUUGGGGCAGAUUGUACUUGGAGUCAGCUCCUUUCUUAUUGAACCAAUGUGCAAGUUGGUUGGCUCAAGAUUAGUUUGGGCAACAAGUAAUUUUAUUGUGUUUGCAUGCAUGGCAGCAACUGCUGUUAUUAGCUACAUUUCUGUCAAAGAAUCUUCCACACAGGUUGGGCAUACUAUUCGAGGGAAUGAAAGCAUUAAGAUUGCUUCUCUGGUUGUUUUUGCUAUUCUGGGCUUCCCUCUGUCUGUAAGUCUUUCCCCACUCCCAGCUUCGUAUGCCUAUGAAUAUGUGUUUUUUUAUCUUUCUAACAACUGUAUUCCUUCUCCAGGUUACUUAUAGCGUUCCAUUCUCAGUCACUGCUGAGUUGACAGCUGAUUCUGGGGGUGGCCAAGGUCUGUAUGAUAUAUUUUCCUUGUGUCAUGUAUUUAAGCAACAGAGUCAUUUCUGAUCAUGAAUAUUUUACACAUCUGUGCAGGAUUGGCAAUAGGAGUUUUAAAUCUUGCAAUUGUUGUACCCCAGGUAUUUUAGAGCUUUCGAAUUAGUGUUAUUCUUGCAGUAAUGAAGGCUUGGUUUGUUUGCAAAAAAAAAGUUUAACUGGAAAAAAAAAUCUUAGAAAAUACUCUAUGGAAAAAGAAGUGGAAAAAUAUUUUUUCAAAAAAUGAUUUCCGGUUAUUUGAUUAUAUCAUGAAGUGGUAAGACAAUGUUCAAUUUAGAAAAAAGAAUUCCCCUUUUCGAAAGAGGAUGUAAUUAACAUGUUUCAUAACAUGUUUCAAAGAAAGUCUAUAAACAAAUACGGAAAUCUGGGACAUAUGUUCCUGAAAUAAAAUUAAUGCUGAAAGUCAGAUAUUCGUGAAAAUUGCGGAGCCUAAACAAGCACCAGAAAUUAAGAGUGUAUUUUCUAAGUGACCUUUGUUGUAGUUAUUAGGAGAAGGCUGCUAGUCUCAGCGUGUAACAUAUUUUCCUUGAUAUCCUUUGUCAUAGAUGAUUGUGUCCCUUGGUGCUGGUCCCUGGGAUGAAUUGUUUGGUGGAGGUAACGUACCCGCAUUUGUCCUGGCUUCCUUAUCUGCCCUGGCUGCUGGCGUUAUUGCAAUACUCAAGCUGCCAAACCUUUCAAGUUCUUUUAGGUCCACAGGUUUUCAUUUCGGGUGAGGCUUCCUAAAGUAAAAAAUUGACACCAAUUUGUAUAGGCAACCAGAAGAAGAGAGUAGAAGACACUUUCGAGAACAACGGUUUUGAUGCUCUGUGUACAGUUGUAUUCUAUCCCAGAGCUACACAUGAAAGUAUCCUAAUUCGUUUAUUCUUUACCCUUUUUGGAUCUGUACACUGUAACUAAAAUGUAUAAUCAUAGUCAAUUAGUUUAGUCUAUACCAAAAAGAAUAUAGUCAAAUGAUUUUUCGAGGCUUGUAGCAUUUUGUAUGAACCCCAAUUGGCUUUAAUAGACCACGGUCUCUGAUGAUCAUGUUUCACCAGUGACACUUUCUGAGCCCUGUAGAUGUAAUUGAAUCACUUCACUUCAUUAUUAUUCAUAAUAUAUGUGACACGUUGAUUAUUAUUGGAUGAUUUUUAGUUUUUUACUUGUACUUUGGUAGCGUGUACUUGAUUUAUGAUACAGAAGGUACAUUCUGCAUGGGGAAGCAAUAUUUGCGUGGAGUUUACUGUCCCACAGAUGACGGGUUUUCUUGUGAUCUUGAUAUCGCUAAUAAACUACAUGUUGAAAUUCAUACAGUUGUAUGUUCAGUAGGAUGGCAUCUUUACUCUGCUGAGUGGAAGUUUAGCUGGGGACUUUCGAAGAGCAUGGGGAGACCGGAGACCCACUGGAGGAACGAAACUGUAUUCACUGGCCCUUCUGGUGAUCUGACUUCUGCAAAAUGGACCACUGAGGUUAGAAAUUUGUACCAUUGUCCAAGUUUAUAUGUGGGAGCAGCUGAAAGUUUUUGAAAAAUUGGGGAAUUAGGAGAACAAGUGGUUGGGAAAUCACUGUCAAGAGAGGAUAGAGAUUCUUUUCUCCAAUUUUUUGCAAAUGGUAAAAGAAGAAGAAUGAAAUUUCAAGAUGCCGACUGACAGCACAUGGAUUAGGAUCAGAGGGGGCCCUAAACUAAGGCCCAUAUGGCGGACAAGCAAAUUUUACUCUUUUAGUCUUUUCUAUAUUAAAAUUGAGGAAUUUCGAUUUCGACAAAUUAAUCUAGAAAACAAAAAUCAAUAAAUAAUAAAAAAAUCUGACAUCAUAGAGAUAAUGCAUAUUUGAACAUGAUUUAAUAAUCUUGAUAAGUUAAAUAACAUCGGCAGAUCUUAAUUUAUUAAAGUUCGAACUGUGAAUUACAGUUAUAUGCUCAACUUAAUACCUCCUCUGUUUUUUUUAUAUGUCACUCUUGAUUUGGACACGUAUAGUUGACCGGAUAGUAAAAAUCAUUAUUUUUAAUUGUUUUUUUUGUGAAUUAAAAUUUUGAUUAUAUAUUUUUAUUCAUAGAAAAUUUCAAAAAUAAUAUUUUUAAUCACUCGGUUAAAACACUAAAAAGUGUGUGUCAAAAAAUCAAAUGUCAUAUAUUAAAAAAUAGUGGAAGUAAUAUACAAAUGCAACUACAAAUAUACGGUACUAGGAUUAGCGUCAUUGACUACAUUGUAUCCCAUGUGAUUAUUCAUGUUAUCAUGCAUUUAAAAUAUAAAUAUUUCACAUAAAAUAAAUAAAUAAAGAGAGUACGACGUAGAAAAGUAGAAAUGAAAGAACGCAUUGAAAAUGAAUCAGCCGUGGUGCACGGGACGUGUUGGUAGGUGUGUUGUAGAGCUGAGGUGGCACUCCCUUGGAGGCUUGGACCAUAUUUCAGGCUUCUGUAUCGUCAUAUCUGGAUAAAUUAUAAGCUAAUUUAUGAUUUAUAAAUCGAGAAGUUAAAAUCACGAACUUUUUCAUAGUCCAUUUCGAUUUUAAAAUUUAACUUCAUAAAUUUAUUAUAAUUAUUUUAAAAGAUAAUUAAAAAUAUUCUGUAAUUAUAUUAUUCAUUUUACGUAUUAUAAGCUCUGUUCUAAAAGUCGAUGAUUAAUCACGAUUAAUCUCUGAUCCGUAGCUCGUCGAACUGAUUAAUCGCCGAUCAAUCCGAUUAAUCCCCGAUCAAUUCAAUUAAUCCUCGAUUAAUCCUUGUUCUGUAACUUCGCCGAUUAAGUCCGAUUCCCGCUUUUUACAACACUGAUUAUAAGUUAUAAAUAAAAUUAUUCACAUUUCGUACAAGUUAAUUAAAGAUAAUAUUUUAACUUUUUACUUAAAAUAAUAAACAACUUUCAAUUACAUGAAUCUCAUUCAACUUUUCUCUGACAAAGCUAGCUAGUUGCACUUCCGAUCUUGUCUUCUAAUAUCACAAUUUGUUAAAAAAAACAUUUGGUGAAGUCAUUGUAAACAAACGAAUUGCUAUAAUAUUGCGAAAAUGGAAAAUUUAUACAAUAUAGAUAACAUUGGAGUCAGUUCAGUCAUUUUUCUAUCUCCAUGUUUCAGCUUUGUUAUUCACAAGUUAGUAAUCCAUGUAGUUUUCUAACAAACCAAACAUAAUUAUAAUUAAUUAGUAAUAAAAUAUUAAUAUGGCAAAGUCUACAAGUUUAGGGAAGAUUAUAUAAAACUCUCCAGUCUCUAGAGUUCAUGUUGCAUUCACAUAGCCAGACAAGUCUCUCUCUCUCUCUCUCCCAAUCUCUCUCCUAAUCUCUCUCCCUAUCUCUCUCUCUCAUUUUUGUGUAUAUGAAAGUCAGAGCACCGCCAGCAUCUGAAAACUGCAGCAUUAGCUAGCAAGUAUGGAGCUCUCAUAGAAAACCUAUCUUUUCAUUUUCAUAUUUUUUGUUUUGCUUUGGCCUCAGAGAGAAUAUAUAUUACAUACUCACUAAUGAGUACUUGCACCAGAGAGAUGGAUUUUUUCCCAGCAAAUUUUAUGAUACAAAAUCAUCAGCAUCAAGAACAAGAAGAACAAGUUCAUCAGUUUCCUCA